AUUUCUAUCGCAAUACGUUUUGAUGCACUUAAUCGCACUGGCAAGAAGGCACAAAAUACACCAAGAUUGUUUUCCACGCUAAGCAUUCUUCAUAGUCCGCGGUUUUAUUUUUCGCUGUCUUUCCGACUUUUAUUUCUGGAGAGGUAACGUGCAUUCACACUGCCAUAGCCAGCUCCAUUCCAGCCAAUCACUCUCUUGUGCCACCGGAGCACCUUCCAAAUUCAGGUUUGCCUUCGACAUUAUCAUGCAGUCAUCCAUAGUUGUAUUUUCAGCCGUCUUCGCGGCAGUGCUAUUAGGCUUGGCUUCAGCCGCAGAUGUGCUUCCACAACAACGAGAGAGAAGAGCCCCGUCAAAUGAUCUAGAGGGAUUCGAACCGGCAACCUGGGAUGGUACAGAUGACGUAGAUGACUUCAGACCAAAUGAAUAGUGAGUUACUAUCAUACAUA